rnacentral:lncRNA from 1 species
GGAAAAGAAGAAGAAAAUUGGCAGAAGAUGAGAUCCCUUGCCUUGUCACUGUCAAUGCCACAUCUACUGAUGUUUUUUCAGAGUUCUGCCAUCAAGACAGCAUCACUCAUCAGUCUGUUUUGCUAUUGUUCCAAUGUCAGCAGCAUCUAUAAAAAUGCUCACAGUCCCUGACAUCAUGCAUCUGUGUAUUUGUUU